CUAGAUUGGCUAACACUAGGGGGAAGAAGGCUAAAAGAAGAGCUAGAGAAAAGCAAAUUCAGGAAGCUAGAAGUCUUGCUUCUCUGCAGAAGAGGAGGGAACUAAAAGCAGCUGGGAUUGAUGAUGGGAAGCGUAGGAACAGGAAGGGAAAGGGGAUCGACUAUAGUGCAGAGAUUGCUUUCGAAAAGAGGGCACCUGCUGGAUUUUAUGACACUGCAGAUGAAGAUCGUCAUGCUGACAACCAUUGAAGAAGGCAAGAUGUGGAAGCACAGUUACUUAAAGCAAGAUGAAUGUUGUUGUUUCUGAUUGUAACUUGGAAUUGAUGAAUGUUUUGACAUGAAUAUGUUUUGUGUUAACAAUUUCAAUUUGUUUGAUGUUUACUUUUAUCUUGUUGACUUAAAUAUCUGAAUUUAACUCGGUCUUCUUGUAAACUUGUUGCCAACUUGGCAAGCAUAUGAUCUUCAACUGUCAUAGCUUUUCUACCUGUUAUUUUGAUGCAUACUUGUGUUCCCCUUCACACUUGAUAGCUCGUUCUUGAUUUUGUCAUUCGUGUUGUAUGAAUUGCUGAUAGUUUGUUUUAAGUUCUGGAAUGGUGGAUGCGUUUGCUACAUGUUUAGUGUAACAACAGCGAAAAAAUGGGUGUGGGAACAGUUCUCGUGGAUCAACGAAGUGAAAAGUAGGGUGUGAUUCUGAAGAGUUGUAACCUGCAUUACGUUUUUGCUUGUGGGUGGAACGAUAUUGUUAAGGCCAACGGAUUGAAAGACGGCUAUGUCUUUCAGAUGUAACUGAGUAGCUCUUCCUCUCCCCUCUUAUAACUGUUCUUGAAAUCUUAUUACAGGCGAUUCUCUUGGUCUAGUGACUUUACUGAAUUCUAAUUAACAAGGUUAGGGUUUUACUUGUUGGGUUUUAUCUCUUUAGUAAGUUGUUUCUGAUUCUUAACUAUAUAUGAUUUGAUGAUACUUUGACAUGAAUGUGUUUUUGUUUUUGUUUUUGCUAACAGUUUGUUUGUUUGAUAGUUUCAUUCAUACAUAUGACAUGAAUAUGUUGAUGUCAGAAUCUGAUUUUAACUUGGUCUUUGUAUAAAGAACGAACAUAAAAAAUACAAAACCAGGAACAAAAACUUGUUGAAUUCUGAUCUUAUACCGUGGAUGCAACAAGACCAAGACAAAUCUCUCGUGACAAGAAAUACCACGCCAACAAUAAGACAUGAUAUCCAAAAAGCUAUUGUCCAAUCUACCAUCAGAGAUUUCCUUGAUGAGUUCAGAUGAUAGAGAUUUCACUAGCUCUAUGAGUGUAGUGUAUGUGAAUCCAUUUGGUAACUAUCCCAUUGUUCUUCAUUUUCUAGAAUAACUUGUUUGUUUCAGGCUCCACGCUUGUGAGGGAGAGACUAGAAAAUAAAUCAUAGGCUUCAUCUACCUUAUUACCUUUCACAUUCUAUGGAUGAUGAUGUUGUACUUCAAGUCAAUUCUCCUCUUUGCAAUAACCUCAAACAUUUCCCAAUGCCUUUUCCCUGUUUCGCAUUAGUGCAUAGAGACCGUUAAGCCUGGUGUUAUCAAUUAGUCAAUUACCAUAUUAAGGCACGCACCAUGGGACGUCGUCUCUUGGAAAAGGUCUUGGGCCGUAUAUAGUUCACUCACUUGACAGAACUUCUUUUAGACAUGUCAUGGAGAAAUUCCACCCCACCGUUCACUUGCUUAUCCCUACAACAUCCGUCUAUGAGAAUUUAAAGUCACUAUAUGUUUUGAGGAGCAACAUCGAUCACUGAGUUAUAAGCGUAUGGUAUCAGGAAAUAUACCCCUACCGAGCAACUCUUUGUAUAAUUCUCCAGCCUCCAGUAACUUCUCUUCUUUGAAAGUUACAAUAUUAGGAAUGAUUUCCCUUUUUACUCAUUAUCACUCAAUAGUUCUUCAGCACCGCUCCAUCUAAAAAUCUACACGAAUAGAAACAACCAUAUUACAGUUGUAGCUUUUUUUUUGUGUGCACGUCACACGGUUGUAGCUAAAAAAACAUUCGGUUCCCUCGCCUGCAAAACUUCCUUUGCUCAAAGAAAUUAGACUCUUUGGAAUUUUUUUUUUUUUUGGUAAAAAUGUAAAGAUAUUAUUAUCAAAUUUUUUCGUUUUUGACAGAAUUACAAAGAUAACAAGAAACAGAGAAAAGAAAAUAAAAUCCUAAAAACAGAUUCAAUCUAGCGAUUACAAGGCAGACACAACAAACCGCAACUGCAAACCCGAAGCUCAACCAAGUCCACACCAACAUCUUGCCACAAAAGGUUGAGCCAAGUUCAACCGAGAGUCGGACUCCGGUAAUUUUGGCCUCCCCGGUGAUCCGCUCUUAAAAAUAAUAGCCCAACCGAGAACAGCUCGCCGAGGGCUUCAUAGCACCCGCCUACAAGAACAGACAGCAACAGAAGAGGUCUAACACCCGCAACAACCAAACCGAGCAUUAUUAGGCCCAGACACGACCUAUACAAGAUGUCGGUCCGAGUAAAAAAGGCCGCAUUCUCCGUACUUCCAGCCCCGAACCCGACCUGCAAACAAUUGACCCGUACACCACCACAAGAAGCUCAAGCGAGCCAUUAUGGUGCUGGGAUGUGAGCGAAGACCGAGCUUUAAGAAGUGGCGGUGAAAGACUCGAGAACCACCACCACACGCCCGUAUUCGCCGAGAACCGAUGGCUGAAAUUGGUGCUGCAAGAAUCGUGACGACGGAUACGGAACCGUGAAGAGAAAGUUCAAAGGUGAGGAGGCACUGCUAACGGCCACUAAGACGGCAUAGACCACCGCCGUUUAAACCACUGACAGAACCUACGCGAGCCGGUCACUGAGCUCGAGCACCAAUCCCUGCAUACUCAAGCCCAAAAACUCACCGCUGUGGUAGUGAGACCCACCAGCACACACCUUGGCUACGGAGAAGACCACCCUAGUUCGAUGAACCAACAGUAACCCCCUCCCGAGCCGAAGAGAAACCUUAGAUCUGAAGUAGUGAACCACCGAAGAUCCGGAGAAGACCCACCAUCCUUUCUCCUCACUGACUGAGAACGCCCGGCGAGAUCUAAGCGAGAACAUCGAUCUCAACCCUAGCCCCAAAAAGGGGAUUGCAACCACAAACCACCGCUCGUCCUCCUCGCCGUGGACCCAGAGAAAGCUGAGAGAACACCAGAGACGACACCCCUCUGCAGCACAGAGCUUCUCCGAGAUCAAACCCUAGCCCAGGACGACGAGCAUAUCGAAGGAGAGCAGGAAGAUGGAGCGGCAGCCAACGGGAAACGAAAAAACCAAGAAGGAGGAGCCUCCGGUCGCCGGUACGCGCCGCCACGCGCCGUCCGGGCCGGAGAAAGCAAAGCUCUGUUUGUAUCGCCUAGAGAGAAGGUGCAGGAGAUAAGGUGGAGAAAGAAAGAGCGCCCUUUCCUCUUUGGAAUUAGGAACCAAUAGAUGUAACCAAAAAAAUUUAAAUUAUUAUUAAUUACACUUAUUUGGAUUCUC
rnacentral:lncRNA from 1 species